CCUACGGGGGGCAGCAGUGAGGAAUAUUGGUCAAUGGACGAGAGUCUGAACCAGCCAAGUAGCGUGAAGGAUGACUGCCCUAUGGGUUGUAAACUUCUUUUAUAUGGGAAUGAAACGUUCCACGUGUGGGAUUUUGUAUGUACCAUAUGAAUAAGGAUCGGCUAACUCCGUGCCAGCAGCCGCGGUAAUACGGAGGAUCCGAGCGUUAUCCGGAUUUAUUGGGUUUAAAGGGAGCGUAGGUGGAUUGUUAAGUCAGUUGUGAAAGUUUGCGGCUCAACCGUAAAAUUGCAGUUGAAACUGGCAGUCUUGAGUACAGUAGAGGUGGGCGGAAUUCGUGGUGUAGCGGUGAAAUGCUUAGAUAUCACGAAGAACUCCGAUUGCGAAGGCAGUUCACUGGACUGCAACUGACACUGAGGCUCGAAAGUGUGGGUAUCAAACAGGAUUAGAUACCCGUGUAGUC
rnacentral:rRNA from 1 species